rnacentral:rRNA from 1 species
UACGUAGGGCGCAAGCGUUUGUCCGGAAUUAUUGGGCGUAAAGAGCUCGUAGGCGGUUUGUCGCGUCUGCUGUGAAAACCUAAGGCUCAACCUUGGGCUUGCAGUGGGUACGGGCAGACUAGAGUGCGGUAGGGGUGACUGGAAUUCCUGGUGUAGCGGUGAAAUGCGCAGAUAUCAGGAGGAACACCGGUGGCGAAGGCGGGGUCUCUGGGCCGUAAACU